AGUGAACGCUGGCGGUAGGCCUAACACAUGCAAGUCGAACGGCAGCACAGUAAGAGCCUGCUCUUACGGGUGGCGAGUGGCGGACGGGUGAGGAAUACAUCGGAAUCUACUUUUUCGUGGGGGUUAACGUAGGGAAACUUACGCUAAUACCGCAUACGACCUACGGGUGCAAGCAGGGGAUCUUCGGACUUUGCGCGAUUGAAUGAGCCGAUGUCGGAUUAGCUAGUUGGCGGGGUAAAGGCCCACCACGGCGACGAUCUGUAGCUGGUCUGAGAGGAUGAUCAGCCACACUGGAACUGAGACACGGUCCAGACUCCUACGGGAGGCAGCAGUGGGGAAUAUUGGACAAGGGGCGCAAGCCUGAUCCAGCCAUACCGCGUGGGUGAAGAAGGCCUUCGGGUUGUAAAGCCCUUUUGUUGGGAAAGAAAAGCAGCAGGUUAAUACCCCGCUGUUCUGACGGUACCCAAAGAAUAAGCACCGGCUAACUUCGUG
rnacentral:rRNA from 1 species